UCCGGCUUAUCACCGGCGGUUUCUUUAGAGUGCCCAACUAAAUGAUGGCAACUAAAGACGAGGGUUGCGCUCGUCGCGGGACUUAACCCAACAUCUCACGGCACGAGCUGACGACAACCAUGCACCACCUGUAUAGAGACCUUGCGGGGAGCACAUUUCUGCGCUUUUCCUCUACAUGUCAAGCCUUGGUAAGGUUCUUCGCGUUGCAUCGAAUUAAUCCGCAUGCUCCGCCGCUUGUGCGGGUCCCCGUCAAUUCCUUUGAGUUUCAGUCUUGCGACCGUACUCCCCAGGCGGAAUGCUUAAAGCGUUAGCGACGGCACCCGGGGACUAUAUAACCCCAGACACCAAGCAUUCAUCGUUUAAGGCUAGGACUAC
rnacentral:misc_RNA from 1 species